UGAGAGAGCGGACGAAAACUCUGCCGUAUCGGUACGAUCCACAGCCGCGGCCCCAACAAUCACGCAUGAAAAAAGGAAGUAGAUCCAAUCGAAUCCUCUCACCCUCAACGGAGCGCUGCACCUCCGGCUUGUGGCGUCAGCCUUCUCUCCCUCCUCGCCAGAUUUCGUCUUCGCCAUCAAGAGGUGUUAAGGGAGGCGCCCGCGACGCGACGACGGCGGGGAGAAGCGGCGCAUUGGCGGACAGCCGGACAGCAGCGCAUGUGCAGCACAUAGCAGCGGCGGCUGUAAGGCCACGGCGGACGAGCAGGUGGUGCGGCUGAGGGCGGGAGAAGAGAGGCCGGGCUGCGCCGGAGGCGGAGCUCGGCCGCGAGCGUGGCACGCAGAGGGCAGUGCCGCGCGAGCGCCCUGCAGCCGCAUCACCGAGCGGCAACCUCGCCGCCACACUACUGCACGAGGACAGCGCCACCGCAUCGCCGAGCCACAACCCGGCCGUUCCCGGCCGGAGGUCGCCGACGCCUUUCCCAACUUUUGGGUUGGCACCCUGAUCGGACGCCUCCCUUUUGGUUAACAUGUUUCUAUGAAAUUGAACAUUUCAGUAACAUUCUGUUGUGUGUUCACAACUUCACAUUAAUUCAGAAAUUGUAUGUAUGAGUCGACUGCAUCCGAUGUUGUGCUCCUCCUGUUCCCUUGAAAGGAUUGCUGGAUGGAAAGAUGUUUUUGCUUUCAGGAUUUCUGGUGUGUGUACGACCCUCUAAGUAACUCUUUUUCAUCUCAUGCAGCAGCAGAGGCUUAGAGGAAGGCGCUGCAGCGUGGAUGCACAUGGGAUGCUGCAGGUUAAAGUCCUUUUAGUUUGUUGAUAAUUUGUCAGACGUAGAUUGUAAGUUAUAUAGCAGAAAUAGAUUUUAAUUUGUGUAUGGUGUGGAUUCCAAAAACUAAUCUGCUUGUACUGAAUUAAUGUCUUGUACAUAAAUUUGCAUGAUGAAUCUUUUUGCAAGAUACAUGUGCCAAAGAGGAGGAGAGUAUGAAAGGAUAAAGGAGUCAGGAAGGACCGAAGGAGAAAUCAUAUGAACAUGAACCUGAUGAUGACCCAUAGUUGGAUGUAUGUGAGAGGUACAGGUGUUAGCUCAUAAGCAUAUCAUAAUACAACAUGACGUGUAUAAUUAUUCAGUUGUUCUUUUUAUCCAUGCCUCAGUCAGACCAAAUUAAAUGACAAACUGCAAUUAUACGAAGACCCAUUACAUACACGACCAGCCCACCUGUCAUCGCGAGACAAGUUAAAAGUGAAGCAACUAAAUGUUUGGGUCGAAUGUUGUUACUAUUGGUUUCUUCAAGGGUAGUAACUUUUACCCAACAUAUGUCAUUUUUUAGGUUAAUUGACUAGCCCCUCUUUUUAUAAUGGUCCAGUCAAUUAAGAGAAAAGGGGAAAGGAAAAUGUAUGACGACACAAGGGCUAUAAAUUACAGAGUGAAUUACAUAGCCUGCAACAUUUGCAUCCCUGGCCCUAUUUAUGAUCCUACAAGGGCUAUCUCUAUGAGCUGAACAAUUACAGCAGAGGACACACUCAAAUUCAGAGUUUAGAGCUUGAUGAGCAAUGUUGUGAGAACUUGUUGAUGAUCUGCCUAUUUUCCGUGAAAUUUGGACGUGUUGGAUGGUCCAUGUGAGGUUCUCCAAGAUUUUUUUUCCUCAUUUUUCUGUUCUGGUAGUAUGAUGGAUUUUGAUUAGAUAAGAACCUGCAGUUUCUUUGUAAGUUGGGAUUAAGAGUUCCAUAUAUAUGCGCCAAGAGAGUAUGUAGGGAAAUCAUGAUA